AACCGUGACUCCUUAGAUGCUCCAGCCAUACUGGUUUCCUUUCAGUUUUCAGAACCUGCCAUCCCAUUUGCUACUUGUCUGCUUAGAAUGCAUUUUUCCCAGCUCCUUUUGUGGCUGGCUUAUUCUUACCUUUCAGUUCUUUCAGUUCGAAUAAUAGCCCUGUAAAAGAGUGUUCUGUCUAAAAUUGUCCUUCCUGUUUAUAUUUUCCAUAAUACUAAUAACAGUCUGAAAUGCUCUUGUUAAUUUAUUUGAUUACUCAUUUUAUUUAUUUAUCUUUUGCACUAUGAUGUCAGUCCCACAAGGAUGCAAACUACGUUUACUACCUUCUUUUCUACCUUUUGCACUUUUCCUAAUCACAUUGGGAAUAAAAUGUUGGGCAAGUUAGAAUACUCCAAAAUAUUUCAUUUACCUUAAAUUUUACUCAAUCCUACAUUUUAUUACCUAUACUCAUAAGAAUUGUAUUAUAAAAUACAUUGUUAAACGAAUGUUUUCAGUGCUCCAUUGAGAGUCGGUGGAGCACACUGGUUGGGAGAAGACAGAGCUGUGAGCCAUCCGUCUGCCUGUGCUUGAGUCUUGGCUCUGCCAUUGACUAGUUGUAUGAACUGCCGCAGGUGGUUCAGCCACUCAGAACCUCUGUAAAAGUGAGAUGUAAAAACACUUUCUACAUCAUAGGAUUAUUGUGAAGAUUAAAUGUGAUAUGUUGUAAAAUUCUGGUCACACAAGUAUUAACUUACUGUUAUUUUUGCUGCCACUGCUAUUAAUUAAUGGCAGUGUGGCGGCUCAGUACUAGGCAAUGGGCGUGCAACUGUGAUGAGAAACGCUUCUGUCCAUUAAAUCGUUCAGUCAGUGGAAGAGACAUGUAUGUAAAUAGGUCAUACCUAAUUUGUAUUUUUCCAAGUUACGUAUAUUAAAGUCAUACUAAUUGGUGCCUGAGCAAGUUUUCAGAUUCCUGUUUGUCCGAUUCCAUCUGGGUCAAAUUACUUAGGUACAAUAAGUGCUUCCUUGUCUGUAAAAUAAGGAUAGUAGUAUCCAUUUAAUAGGCUUACUGUGAAAAUGACACAUGAUUUAUAUAAAAAAUGGCCAGUAUGGUGUCUCUUAAAAAUUGUGGGGCAUUAUGACCAGUCAGGCAAAUAAGGGACCAAGGAGAUAACUGUAAUCAAAUCAAAGUCCUGGUAUCAGGAGGUAUAGUAGGGUAACGGGUCAAGGAAAGGCAUGGUCUUCUGUGGCCCAGAGAAAGCAGUGGUCUUGGCAGGUCGUGGGCUGGCAAGCACCAUUUAUUUUGGGUUCUGAGAAACAGCUUCCUCCCAUUACAGGCACCAAUUCAAUUAGGCAGGAGAUAGUGCUGAAGGUUUUUGUUUCCAUCAGCUUCUGCUGUGUAGAUAGUAGCUCUGUUUGAAAAACUUUGAGAAGUUGUUGUGAUGUGCCUCUUUCUGGGUUCCGAUCCCUUCUCAGCCUGGUGAUGCCAUGGCAUUCAAAUCAAUUUGUUUCUCUUCCCCUCCCCUACCCUACAUCCAUCAUACAAAAUGGGGGUGGUUGCACUAAUCAGAGAUCUGCUUUUUUCCCCCCACAGAUAUUGGUUGCUUACAGCUCUUAAUUUCUAGGGUUCUCAAAACUGUUUAAUGAGUGUGUCUGGAUUAAAUCCAGAUACUCUGACUAUAUAGAGCUCUUUUCAUUUUCAAAGAUAUCUAAGUAAACACAGCAUAGAAUUCUUCACAAGUUCCUAUCAAUUUCCCCUUUUGAAAAUUAUGGCUCUUUUCUGUAGCUUUCUGAGACAUCAAUUCUGUGAACCUUUGCUUCUUUCUCUCACCACCUCUUGUUGUAUGUUAUUCUGACUUCAACUGCCACAUUUUAAGUCAUGGUAACCAGGAAUCUAUACUGAAAUAUUUUCAUUAAUUCUUAUUUAUUCGGCAGCAUGAACAGUUGCAGG
rnacentral:lncRNA from 1 species